rnacentral:sRNA from 1 species
UUUAUUUGUUAAUGCCGUUUCGUGAGUGGCACUAAAAUCAAUCAGACGAAAAUGAUUUAAUUGUUUGCCAGUCGCUAUUGUGACGGAUAAUUGGCAAAGCGGCCGGCAUUGAUGGGGAAUAGUUGCGGAGAGAUUCCACGCAGUCGAAAGAGAUGAUUAAUGAAACCACCAAUUUAAUUUGGCAAUAUGAGCUGCUAUGAUCAGGACUCCAAAGGCAGUUAAAACGGAAUAAAAACGAAACUUAAACUCCGAAAAAUCAAAACUUUUCCCUCCAGCUGCGACCAUCUGAAGCGGAUGUGAAAAGGAGGUAAUGUGAGCACGACAGAGUGGGGAGAUGUGGAAAAGAGCAGAGAUAGUGUCUGGAGGAUAUUUGUACACAUGUGAACUUGGCAUAGCAGUGCUUAAAUGUCACUGUGGGUUCAUUAAUAUUUAAAGACAUAGAAGUCAUCAUCUCAGCCUGAGCGCCAUUGUGAUUCCGUCUGUUUAUCGUAGCAUUUAGUGGUUCAUUAUUAUAAUCAAAGCCGAAAUACAAAUGGCUUAAAGCUGGUUUUUGGAA